rnacentral:lncRNA from 1 species
GCAACAACUGAAAACAUCAGUGUGUUAUCAACAUUUUUCUCAUCCUAAAUCCAAAACAUAACACUAUACCAGCUACUAGAAAGAAAAUUAACCAGGACAAGGAGCUUUGCUCAGGUGAAAAGAAAAAAAAAUAAAGGAGGUAUCACAUAAGCAGAAGCCACUGUCCUAUAACAUGUGCCUGGUAUUUUCUGUCGUGUCUGAUCCGUCCAAGGGGGUAUGUCAGUUGUAACUGCUAAUUUUAGAAGCUACAUUUUUUUCUUGGUUGUACAAACCAGGGCUUCGAUAGGCUAGCCAGGUGUUCAAGAGCAAAAGCACGAUAACUUAAAAACUUUGUUCUCUUUCCUGUUUGCUGCCUUCCCUGCAGGUUCAUGGUUCUCAAGGAACGUUGCGGGUAGAUAAUCAGAAUCCCCUGGGGAUUACGGAGCACGGGACUUCGGUAUCCAUAUAUUCACAGACCCAAGCUGAUCGCUACAGAGAUGCACACAGGGAGCUCUUCCGACACUUUCUGAGAACCCUGAAAGGCAAGGAACCCCCCGUGAUAACCAAAGAGCAGUUUCUCUGGACGAUUCAGGUCGCUGCAGCUGCUGAACAGUCCUGGAGAAAUGGAUCCGCUGUUGACUUGCGCAGCGAAGCAAUAGAUUCGUCUGUAAUCAAGACUGAGAUAAUGUGACACAGGCUGCUGUGUUCCGAGGUGAAGGAUAACCGUUAAGCUGUGCUACAGUGAGGUCUUUCCACCUAGUGAUGUCUCUGCUGUAACCUUAAAAUAAGACUUGUGGUUUCCCCUGGGAAUGCCCAGAAGACAGAGGCACUUUUGAACGAGAAGCACUUGGUGCUGAGGCUGCAGGUGUUUCUUAGCAUGUCAGCCAAAGCCCUCGAGAAAUUCUGGGUGGUUUCAUCCAGAUGGCUUUUCCUUCUGGAGAGCUCUGCUGGCUACUGAGGUCUGUUUUCCUGGGAGAAGACUGACACUCAUCGGGCUGUGGUAAGGUGGCGUAGACCACCACCAGCCGUGAUGGGAACAGUGCGAGCGAGUGGCUUUCCCGACAGCUUCACAAGCGAGACAACGUAAUGCUCCAGAAAAAUAGGGGAGCAUCUGUCUGGUCCAUGCUCAUUUCCCUUCAGUAUAUGCAGGAAUGUGACUUUUGUGCUGAACUCACCUCUGAGCCUCCUAUUUAUUGUUUCGGUGGUUGUUUUUACUGGGUUUUCUAAAAAAGAAGUUAUGAUCUAAUUUUCUUGGGGGGUGGAGAGAAAAGAUGAAAAAGCAGAGAGGGAGACUUCUGACCGUCCUGUUGUUACACAGACGAGAGGCUUCGUAGUAAGGCCAUAAAUUAAGGCUGUUCUGUAGAGGAGCAACGCACUUGGGCAUUUCAGUAAUAAACACUGCAUUAUUAAAGGGUUUCUCAGAACGCAGUCUGUGAAUUUGCACAGCAGCCCUGUACGACGACUGUUACUGGGACAUGCAGCUGCUGGGCAGGUUGUUCAGCACCGGGGCUGAGCGUUGUCUGGAUUACUCGCUGCAGCAGCCGGGUAGCUGUCUGGAGGCCGGUGUUUUCCUUGCUUAAGUGCAAGUGUUGUAUGUUAACAUUUUAGUAGCAAAAUUGAACUAAUAAUCACAUUCUUUGAGUGUAGGAAGGGCAUCUAAUUGCGUAUUUUAGAGGUGGGGUUGUUUUUGUUUUUUUACAGUCCAGCAGAUUUGGAUCACACACCACAGAAAAAGAUAGUGCCUUCAACAACAGGCAAGCCUCCUUUUAAACCAGGUUCUUUGUACCUUUUUAUUCUUGUGUUCAGUUUAUUGCAGAUGUAUGGAUUUGACUAUUCUUGUCUGUUUCUCACACACCAGUUUUCAAGAUCUUUUGAAAGCUUUUUUUAUUGUAUUAAAAUAACGUUCUUGCC